GCCACGGUGGUCUAGCGGUUACAACGCUGGUCUUGUAAUCCUGGGGUCUCGGGUUCGAUUCCCGGCGGUGCCC
rnacentral:tRNA from 1 species